ACUGCUCAGUAACACGUGGACAACCUGCCCUUAGGACGGGGAUAAACCCGGGAAACUGGGUAUAAUACCCGAUAGGUCUCGAUUGCUGGAAUGCAUCGAGAUUUAAAGCUCCGGCGCCUAAGGAAGGGUCUGCGGCCUAUCAGGUAGUAGUGGGUGUAGCGUACCUACUAGCCUACGACGGGUACGGGUUGUGAGAGCAAGAGCCCGGAGAUGGAUUCUGAGACACGAAUCCAGGCCCUACGGGGUGCAGCAGGCGCGAAAACUUUACAAUGCUGGCAACAGCGAUAAGGGAACCUCGAGUGCCAGGUUACAAAUCUGGCUGUCGAGAUGCCUAAAAAGCAUUUCAUAGCAAGGGCCGGGCAAGACCGGUGCCAGCCGCCGCGGUAACACCGGCGGCUCGAGUGGUAACCGUUAUUAUUGGGUCUAAAGGGUCUGUAGCCGGCCGGAUAAGUCUCUUGAGAAAUCUGGCAGCUUAACUGUCAGGCUUUCAGGAGAUACUGUCUGGCUCGAGGCCGGGAGAGGUGAGAGGUACUUCAGGGGUAGGGGUGAAAUCUUGUAAUCCUUGAAGGACCACCAGUGGCGAAGGCGUCUCACCAGAACGGACCUGACGGCAAGGGACGAAAGCUAGGGGCACGAACCGGAUUAGAUACCCGGGUAGUCCUAGCCGUAAACGAUACUCGCUAGGUGUCGGCCACGGUGCGACCGUUGUCGGUGCCGUAGGGAAGCCGUGAAGCGAGCCACCUGGGAAGUACGGCCGCAAGGCUGAAACUUAAAGGAAUUGGCGGGGGAGCAC
rnacentral:rRNA from 1 species